AUUGAACGCUGGCGGCAGGCUUAACACAUGCAAGUCGAGCGAGCGGCGGAAGGGUGAGUAAUGUCUGGGAAAACGCACGAUGGCGGGGGAUAACUCCUGGAAACGGUAGCUAAUACCGCAUACCAUACGUUGUGCCCAUAUGGGAUUAGCUAGUAGGUGUGGGAAUGGCUCACCUAGGCGACGAUCCCUCGCUGGUCUGAGCGGAUGACCGGCCACCCUGGAACUAGGACACGGUCCGGACUCCUACGUGAGGAAGCAGUGGGGAAUAUUUGACAAUGGGCGAAAGCCUGAUGCAGCCAUGCCGCGUGUGUGAAGAAGGCCUUCGGGUUGUAAAGCACUUUCAGCGAGGAGGCGUUACUAGCAGAAGAAGCACCGGCUAACUCCGUGCCAGCAGCCGCGGUAAUUC
rnacentral:rRNA from 1 species